AGAGUUUGAUCCUGGCUCAGGAUGAACGCCGGCGGUGUGCCUAAUACAUGCAAGUCGUACGCACUGGCCCAACUGAUUGAUGGUGCUUGCACCUGAUUGACGAUGGAUCACCAGUGAGUGGCGGACGGGUGAGUAACACGUAGGUAACCUGCCUCGGAGCGGGGGAUAACAUUUGGAAACAGAUGCUAAUACCGCAUAACAACAAAAGCCACAUGGCUUUUGUUUGAAAGAUGGCUUUGGCUAUCACUCUGGGAUGGACCUGCGGUGCAUUAGCUAGUUGGUAAGGUAACGGCUUACCAAGGCAAUGAUGCAUAGCCGAGUUGAGAGACUGAUCGGCCACAAUGGAACUGAGACACGGUCCAUACUCCUACGGGAGGCAGCAGUAGGGAAUCUUCCACAAUGGGCGCAAGCCUGAUGGAGCAACACCGCGUGAGUGAAGAAGGGUUUCGGCUCGUAAAGCUCUGUUGUUGGAGAAGAACGUGCGUGAGAGUAACUGUUCACGCAGUGACGGUAUCCAACCAGAAAGCCACGGCUAACUACGUGCCAGCAGCCGCGGUAAUACGUAGGUGGCAAGCGUUAUCCGGAUUUAUUGGGCGUAAAGCGAGCGCAGGCGGUUGCUUAGGUCUGAUGUGAAAGCCUUCGGCUUAACCGAAGAAGUGCAUCGGAAACCGGGCGACUUGAGUGCAGAAGAGGACAGUGGAACUCCAUGUGUAGCGGUGGAAUGCGUAGAUAUAUGGAAGAACACCAGUGGCGAAGGCGGCUGUCUGGUCUGCAACUGACGCUGAGGCUCGAAAGCAUGGGUAGCGAACAGGAUUAGAUACCCUGGUAGUCCAUGCCGUAAACGAUGAGUGCUAGGUGUUGGAGGGUUUCCGCCCUUCAGUGCCGGAGCUAACGCAUUAAGCACUCCGCCUGGGGAGUACGACCGCAAGGUUGAAACUCAAAGGAAUUGACGGGGGCCCGCACAAGCGGUGGAGCAUGUGGUUUAAUUCGAAGCUACGCGAAGAACCUUACCAGGUCUUGACAUCUUGCGCUAACCUUAGAGAUAAGGCGUUCCCUUCGGGGACGCAAUGACAGGUGGUGCAUGGUCGUCGUCAGCUCGUGUCGUGAGAUGUUGGGUUAAGUCCCGCAACGAGCGCAACCCUUGUUACUAGUUGCCAGCAUUAAGUUGGGCACUCUAGUGAGACUGCCGGUGACAAACCGGAGGAAGGUGGGGACGACGUCAGAUCAUCAUGCCCCUUAUGACCUGGGCUACACACGUGCUACAAUGGACGGUACAACGAGUCGCAAGCUCGCGAGAGUAAGCUAAUCUCUUAAAGCCGUUCUCAGUUCGGACUGUAGGCUGCAACUCGCCUACACGAAGCUGGAAUCGCUAGUAAUCGCGGAUCAGCACGCCGCGGUGAAUACGUUCCCGGGCCUUGUACACACCGCCCGUCA
rnacentral:rRNA from 1 species